UUCUAAUUGCUUCACAAUUAGUAAAACCUGCACAAUGAAAAAUUAAAUAGCCGCAAUUUUGUGCUAAGGUAGCAUAAUAACUUGCCUGCUAAUUACAGGAUAGCAUGAAAGGUUCAACACGAAAUCUUCUUUGUUAUUUCUACUUAUCUAAAUUCUUAUAAAAGUAAAAAAACUUUUAUUAUAAAGAGGGACAACAAGACCCUGUUGAGCUUAACUUUAAGUUUAACUGGGGUGGUAUAAAACACAAUCUUUUCUUUCCUUACAUUAAUAACCUAAAUUUAGAAAAACAAGCUACCACAGGGAUAACAGCACAAUUUCUUUUAAGAGACCUUAUCUAAAAAGAAGAUUAUGACCUCGAUGUUGAAUUAAAAUUCCCCUUAAAGAAAAAUUUAAGAAAGAAAGUCUGUUCGACUUUUAAUUAUUUACGUGAUCUGAGUUCA
rnacentral:rRNA from 1 species